rnacentral:rRNA from 1 species
UGGGGAAUAUUGCACAAUGGGCGCAAGCCUGAUGCAGCCAUGCCGCGUGUAUGAAGAAGGCCUUCGGGUUGUAAAUUACUUUCAGCGGGGAGGAAGGCGAUAAGGUUAAUAACCUUGUCGAUUGACGUUACCCGCAGAAGAAGCACCGGCUAACUCCGUGCCAGCAGCCGCGGUAAUACGGAGGGUGCAAGCGUUAAUCGGAAUUACUGGGCGUAAAGCGCACGCAGGCGGUCUGUCAAGUCGGAUGUGAAAUCCCCGGGCUCAACCUGGGAACUGCAUUCGAAACUGGCAGGCUAGAGUCUUGUAGAGGGGGGUAGAAUUCCAGGUGUAGCGGUGAAAUGCGUAGAGAUCUGGAGGAAUACCGGUGGCGAAGGCGGCCCCCUGGACAAAGACUGACGCGCAGGUGCGAAAGCGUGGGGAGCAAACA